rnacentral:snoRNA from 1 species
AUCCUUUUGUGGAUCUAUACACAUGAUGCUUGUGUUUUCAUGAGUUUGCAUGACAUGACAUGUUACUACAACAAUAGUACAUUAUCCAUCCAACU